rnacentral:rRNA from 1 species
UCCUGGCUCAGGAUGAACGCUAGCGGCAGGCUUAACACAUGCAAGUCGAGGGGCAGCGGGAUGUAGCAAUACACUGCCGGCGACCGGCGGAUGAGUGCGUAACGCGUAUGCAACCUACCUUAUACAGGGGAAUAACCUUUCGAAAGGGAGACUAACACCCCAUAGUAUUGAUUUAAGGCAUCUUAGAUUAAUUAAAUAUUUAUAGGUAUAAGAUGGGCAUGCGUAUGAUUAGCUAGUUGGUAAGGUAACGGCUUACCAAGGCGACGAUCAUUAGGGGUUCUGAGAGGAAGGUCCCCCACACUGGUACUGAGACACGGACCAGACUCCUACGGGAGGCAGCAGUGAGGAAUAUUGGUCAAUGGGCGCAAGCCUGAACCAGCCAUGCCGCGUGCAAGGAAGACGGCCUUAUGGGUUGUAAACUGCUUUUACAUAAGACUAACCGUAUAUUUGCGAAUAUACCUGAAUGUAUUAUGAGAAUAAGGAUCGGCUAACUCCGUGCCAGCCGCCGC